rnacentral:tRNA from 1 species
GUCCCCUUCGUCUGAGAGGCUUCCAGGACACCGCCCUUUCACGGCGGUAACAGGGGUUCGAAUCCCCUAGGGACGCCA